rnacentral:rRNA from 1 species
GCAGUGAGGAAUUUUGCGCAAUGGGAGAAAGCCGGACGCAGGGACACCGCGUGGGGGAAGAAGGCCCUUGGGUUGUAAACUCCUUUCGUGAGGGAAAAAGUCCCGAGCAAUAGGGAUGAUGGUACGUCAGGAAGAAGUCACGGGUAACUCUGUGCCAGCAGCCGCGGUAUGACAGAGGUGGCAAGCGUUGUUCGGAUUUAAUGGGCUUAAAGGGCGGGUAGGCGUCGUAAUAAGUCAGAUGUGGAAUCCUUAGGCCUAACCUGAGAAUUGCAUGUGAUACUAUUAGGAUUGAGUCAGGCAAGGGAGGGCGGAAUUCCUGGUGGAGCGGUGAAAUGAGUAGAUAUCAGGAGGAAGGCCGGUGGCGAAGGCGUCCCUCUAGGCCAUGCAUGACGCUGAGGCGCGAAAGCGUGGGGAGCAAACAGGAUUAGAUACCCUGGUAGUCCACGCCCUAAGCGGGGGGUACUAGGUGUAGGGGGCGAUAGUCAUCCGUGCCGUAGGGAAACCCUUAAGUACGCCGCCUGGGGAGUACGCUCGCACGAUUAAAACUCAAAGGAAUGACGG